GCCACAAAGCUAGCUCUAACCACAUAGUAAAACUGAUAAUCUAGUUAGCUACUCAACUAUAAAAAAGCAGAAACCAAAUCAUUUGACCUUCCCAGUAUGGGCGACAAAAAAGAACUACCAGAAGCAUAGCAAA
rnacentral:rRNA from 1 species